UACAGAGGUCCCAAGCGUUGUUCGGAUUCACUGGGCGUAAAGGGUGCGUAGGUGGCUUUGAAAGUUUGAUGUGAAAUCUCCGGGCUCAACCCGGAAAAUGCAUUGAAUACUGCAGAGCUGGAGGGUUGGAGGGGGGACUGGAAUUCUCGGUGUAGCAGUGAAAUGCGUAGAUAUCGAGAGGAACACCAGUGGCGAAGGCGAGUCCCUGGACAACAUCUGACACUGAGGCACGAAAGCCGGGGGAGCAAACAGG
rnacentral:rRNA from 1 species